UUGGGUCUCGCUCGUUGCUCCGCCGGGAUCAACCAGACCUGGCGGAGGCUACUGCUAUUGGGAUUCGAUUAAGCCAUGCAAGUUGAGUGAAUUUAGAUUCAUGGCGUACGGCUCAGUAACACGUGGAUAACUUACCCUUAGGACUGGGAUAACUCUGGGAAACUGGGGAUAAUACCGGAUAUUAGGCUAUGUCUGCAAUGGUUUGCCUUUGAAAUGUUUUUUUUCGCCUAAGGAUAGAUCUGCGGCUGAUUAGGUCGUUGGUGGGGUAAUGGCCCACCAAGCCGAUGAUCGGUACGGGUUGUGAGAGCAAGGGCCCGGAGAUGGAACCUGAGACAAGGUUCCAGACCCUACGGGGUGCAGCAGGCGCGAAACCUCCGCAAUGUACGAAAGUGCGACGGGGGGAUCCCAAGUGUUAUGCUUAAAGGUAUGACUUUUCAUUAGUGUAAAAAGCUUUUAGAAUAAGAGCUGGGCAAGACCGGUGCCAGCCGCCGCGGUAACACCGGCAGCUCGAGUGGUAGCUGUUUUUAUUGGGCCUAAAGCGUUCGUAGCCGGUUUAAUAAGUCUUUGGUGAAAGCUUGUAGCUUAACUAUAAGAAUUGCUGGAGAUACUAUUGGACUUGAAGUCGGGAGAGGUUAGAGGUACUACCGGGGUAGGGGUGAAAUCCUAUAAUCCUGGGGAGAACACCUGUGGCGAAAGCGUCUAACUGGGACGAUCCUGACGGUGAGUAACGAAGCCNGGGCGCGAAACGGAUUAAAUACCGGGUAGUCUGGGCGUAACGAAGGGAACUGGUGUUGGAAAGCUUUAAGUUUUCCCGUGCCA
rnacentral:rRNA from 1 species